CAGCAGACACAUUCCAGCCAAUCAGCAGCAGACCCUCUCUCCCAGACCCUCCCACCUCCUGGACAGCAUCCAUUUUGCAUUCAUUGUGAAGCUGCAUUCUUAGUGAGCUGUCUAGGAGGUGGGAGGGUCUGGGAGGGAAGGUCUGCAGCUGAUUGGCUGGAAUGUAUCUUCUG
rnacentral:miRNA from 1 species